UAUUAGAGAUUUGUUAACACCUUAGAGAAAGGUUAAAAAACAUGAACUGGAUAAAUUCCUGAAGGAUUUAUUAUUUCUAUGGGAAUAGACUGCGUCAUCUUCUCACUAAUCCAUGCUCUAGAUUAGUAGUCUCCAAAGUAUAUGCUGAUGACCUGACCCCAGUGGAUUUGAGAUCAACUGUCUAAUGAGUAGAAAGAUAGUUCGAUCAUAUCCCAUGAUAGCCAAUGUUGGCGUCAUCUCCAACAAAAAACUUGCCCUUAUUAAUCAUCAUUCCUCCAUACCAACCUCAUCUUCCAUUGUGAAAGUUCCCUUUCCCCAUAGCAUUUAUAAUCUGUUACCCUGGCAACCUAAGCAGCUGCUAUGCAGGUGUCCCUGGGAAAAUCACACAUACAAAAUCCCUACAAAUAUCCCUGGAUACUCCAUGGCUGCAACAGUAUUGCUUCUGAGUACUGGAGAUUGAGAGGGUCUAACUGGGACAGUCACUAAUAAGAAUUCUCCCUUUGUGUUUUAUAAUGUCAUAAUAUUAGUAAAAGACUACAUGUCAAGAUUUGUGACCAUAUUCACCAAUCUCAUUCAUCUCUGUGUCUGGCACCUGUUUCUUUUCCUUCCUAUUGCAACUAUCCUACUCCAGAUCCUUCUCAUCUUACAUAUGAUUAUUACUGUAGUCUUCCUAUCUUCAUUAUCUUAGACUUUUUAUUCCAUUUUAUUAGUGAUGAGAAAGUCUUGCAAAAAUACUUUGUAUUGUACAUAUUGUAACCCUGAUGAUUAAGGUCCUUCACAAUUGAGCCUUUACUUUAAAAAAUUAAAAUUUUAUUUCAUUUUUAAUUUAUUAAAUAAGUAUUUCCAUAGCAAUAGAAUUUUUAGAAAGAUGGUUGAAAAACUGCAAGUCUAUUCUGUACAGCUUGCUAUUCCUUUUAAAUAUAAAAUGUCACUUUUUUUCUUUCCUUCACCCUCCCCCACAAAAGAUGGGUACUAUCAAACACAAAUAUCGGUGUGUGUGUUUGAGUGUGUGAAAUCAUUCUAUACAUACUUCUACUUACCACUUCUUUCUCUGCAUGUAGUUAGUGUCUACUUUUACUUCUUUAGUCUUAAUUUCUACUACCAUACACAAACCCUUGACAUGAAAUAACAGCUGCUUAUAUUUCAAAGUAAUGUAGUUUUUAAGAGCAUUUUGCUCAUAACCAUGAGAUGUGAAAUACAAGUAUUAUCCUCAUUUUACAGAAAAACUUGAUAAAGAAGGGCAAGAAAUGAAAUGCCUUGAUCAAUUUGAAACUAGAUAUUAAUCCAUUAUUCUUUUUUACCACAUUAUAGACUAGUUUUCUUGCUUUUGACUUAAUUUUCGCUGCUUGUGGUGAUCACAUUUAUCCUUUGUUCCUUUCUAAAUACUAUAUUUCAAGGCACUGAAGCUUCCCCAUUCGUUCAUAAAGCCUUACCUUACUGUUCUAUAAGAUGAUAUAUUCCUCUAAACUUUGUAACCCUUAUUGUAGUUUGGUUCUCAUUUGGCACUUAGCCUAUAGAGGCAAAGUUUUUUUGUUAUAUUUUCCAUUUAUCUAUUCAUGUAUCUGUCUUGUAUCCUUAGUAAGAUAUACUCUUUAUGAGGAUAAGGAUCUCUUUGUAAUCCUAGUGACUGUAAUCCUAGUAAUGCCUAGUGACAAGGGCAUUCCUUGUAGGUUUUAAGUGUUCAAUGUUUGUUGAUGGUGUUCUUAAAGGAACAGUCACAUACAUAUAGCAUAUUACCAUUUAAUAAAGGAAAUUAGUCUCUGCAACACAUUCUUCAUUCUAAGUUUAGAAACUGAUUAUUUAAAAAAAAACAUUUCAUUAAGGUAUUUACAUAAUAUAUAAGAGAAAAAACUGAAAUAAUUUUAAAGUAGCUAUAUAUAAUUCUCAUGUUAUGGUAAUAUAGAGAUGACCUAGGUUUUCAAAGCUUAUGCCUACACAGUGCAAACUCUGGCAGGUCACAGCUGGAAAGGCUCCAAGCUUAGCUCCAGUAACUGUUUACUAUCUUAGAACCAGCCCAAAUUCAGGAAGGCUCAUCAUAACUGCAAACCAAACGAUGCAUCUUUUUAGCUACAGCAACUCAUAAACAAUGUCUACUAACACCUAGAAGCAAGUGUGAAUGCAUCAGUGGAAACUAUGGAGUACCAAUGAAGCUGUAGAAUGAGAGGGGUUCCAACAAUUAUAACAAUGUAAAUAGGGGGAAAAAAAAUCUGAAACUGAAUGCUGGAGAAUUAUAAAGAUCAAGCUUGGCCACAAAGAGAUGUCAGAAUGCACAUAUUGACCUCUCUUCUUUAUAGACUUGAGAUGAUUUAAGGCUUAGAUAUGUAUUGGUUAGUUUUGAUGAAUUAGGUUAUAAGGAGUAACUUAGAACAGUGCUCAAAAGGCUAUAAAACUGUAUAUCCUUUGAUCCAGCAAUAUGGAUCUCAAUCCAGAAUGAGACUCUAGGAGAUAUUGCUAUAAUCAAAGCACCCAUUUCUACCAAUGAGAAUGUCCUACAACCAAAUACUCCCACACCACUUCCCUCCUCGCAACCCUUCAGUGAUGCUGCUGAAAAUGAAAGAAUGAGUGAUUGUUCAAUAUCUGUUGAGAAUGAUCUGGAACAGGUGGAAGAACAGAGUGAGGGGCAGAGUGAAGGAAGCAGUGAAUAUCUGGGUGAAGCUAGUUAUGAAGAGCCUUCCAAUGAUACCAGGGAAGAACAGAGUGAGUCACCAAAUCCUGAGGACCAGCAGAAUUCAUCACUUCCUUAAUUUCAGCUUCAGAUGAACCUCUCUCAGAGGCACAACCAGAUUCACUUCAUCUCACACCUUGUGGUGGCUGGGCUCCUGCACUUCCCCCACUGAGAGUAAGUUGGUCUGAAAGACUUGCCAGAAAGCUAGCCGAGCCCCAAGUGAAGGAGACAAGAGAUUCAUUCCAUCUUUGUGCUGCCUGGAGGCUGAAGAAAGCAGAGGCAGAGGCAAAAGGACAAAACCUUUAGAAUUGGAGACAUUCAGAGGGAGCUCUUGGAACCAAGCAGAGAGAUAGGCCUCUUAACUAACCGGGCUAUUUUGGAAGGAGAAAAUAAACGUUUGCAUUUUUACCAGCUGGCUGCAUUUGGGGUGAUUAUUACUUUCAACUGCAACUAAGACUGCCUCCAGAAAACCUUCCCCGAGAAACCUGCACCUCUCCCCCAGAGAGAACCUUUAUAUUAUUUAAAAAAGAAAAAGGACCUGAAUUCUAAAGAGAUAUUAAAAAAGGGAAAAGGACCCUUUUAUGCAAAAAUGUUUGUACUAAGCUCUCUUUGUAAUGGCAAGGAAUUGGAAGUUGAGUGGAUACCCAUCAAUUGGGGAAUGGCUGAAUAAGUUAUAAUAUAUGAAUGCUAUGGACUAUUGUUCUUCUAUUAGAAAUGAUGAGCAGGCUGAUUUUAGAAAAGCCUGGAAAGACUUACAUGAACUGAUGCUAAAUGAAGAGAGCAGAAAAAGACAACAUUGUACACAACAAGAUUAUGUGACAAUCAACUAUGAUAAAUUUAAUUCUUCUUAGCAUGUAGUGAUCCAAAACAAUUCCAAUAGACUUGGGAUGAAAAGGCAUCCAGAGAGAGAAGUAUGGAGACUACAUGUGGAAGUAUACUAUUUUUACCAUUUUUGUUUGCUUUUCCUUUUUUGUGUUUUUUUACCUUUUGGUUUGAUUUUUCUUACACAACAUGAUAAAUAUGUUCAAAAAGAUUGUAUACAUAUAACCUAUAUCAGAUUGCUUUCUGUCUUGGGGAGGGGGAGAACAAAGGAGGGAAAGAGAAAAAAUUUGGAAUACAAAAUCUUACAAAAAUAAAUAUUGAGAACUAUGUAUUUGGAAAAAAUAAUAUACUAUUAAAGAAUAGUUCUCUGUAGUUGUCAAGGAGAAGGAAUAUAUUAGGAAAUGAAGAUGAUAUAAAAAUUAAUAUAUUUUUAUUAUUUUAGAGGAUAUGUCACAAAAUUUUAGAGGAUAUAUCAAACCCAAAUAACCUAUGAUGAUUUAAGUUUGCUAUCUACCACUAAUGAACUAGAGUAUAGUUUGAAGCAUAUUUUUAAACUUUGUUUUUCUUAUUUGUGUGUGUUUUUCUUUCACAACAUAAAGAAUGGAAAAUACGUUUAGUAACUUCA